rnacentral:rRNA from 1 species
AGAGUUUGAUCAUGGCUCAGGACGAACGCUGGCGGCGUGCUUAACACAUGCAAGUCGAACGAGAGGACAAGAGAAGCUUGCUUCUUUUGGAAUCGAGUGGCAAACGGGUGAGUAACACGUAAACAACCUGCCUUCAGGAUGGGGACAACAGACGGAAACGACUGCUAAUACCGAAUACGCUUGGAAGACCGCAUGAUCUUCCAAGGAAAGGGUGGCCUCUACCUGUAAGCUAUCGCCUGAAGAGGGGUUUGCGUCUGAUUAGGCAGUUGGUGAGGUAACGGCCCACCAAACCUACGAUCAGUAGCCGGUCUGAGAGGAUGAACGGCCACACUGGAACUGAGACACGGUCCAGACUCCUACGGGAGGCAGCAGUGGGGAAUCUUCCGCAAUGGGCGAAAGCCUGACGGAGCAACGCCGCGUGAGUGAUGACGGCCUUCGGGUUGUAAAGCUCUGUGAUCGGGGACGAACGGUCCGUAAGUCAAUACCUUAUGGAAGUGACGGUACCCGAAUAGGAAGUGACGGCUAACUACGUGCCAGCAGCCGCGGUAAAACGUAGGUCACAAGCGUUGUCCGGAAUUACUGGGUGUAAAGGGAGCGCAGGCGGGAAGACAAGUUGGAAGUGAAAUCCAUGGGCUCAACCCAUGAACUGCUUUCAAAACUGUUUUUCUUGAGUAGUGCAGAGGUAGGCGGAAUUCCCGGUGUAGCGGUGGAAUGCGUAGAUAUCGGGAGGAACACCAGUGGCGAAGGCGGCCUACUGGGCACCAACUGACGCUGAGGCUCGAAAGUGUGGGUAGCAAACAGGAUUAGAUACCCUGGUAGUCCACACUGUAAACGAUGAUUACUAGGUGUUGGAGGAUUGACCCCUUCAGUGCCGCAGUUAACACAAUAAGUAAUCCACCUGGGGAGUACGACCGCAAGGUUGAAACUCAAAGGAAUUGACGGGGGCCCGCACAAGCAGUGGAGUAUGUGGUUUAAUUCGACGCAACGCGAAGAACCUUACCAAGUCUUGACAUCCCUUGACGAUGCUGGAAACAGUAUUUCUCUUCGGAGCAAGGAGACAGGUGGUGCAUGGUUGUCGUCAGCUCGUGUCGUGAGAUGUUGGGUUAAGUCCCGCAACGAGCGCAACCCUUAUGGUCAGUUACUACGCAAGAGGACUCUGGCCAGACUGCCGUUGACAAAACGGAGGAAGGUGGGGAUGACGUCAAAUCAUCAUGCCCUUUAUGACUUGGGCUACACACGUACUACAAUGGCGUUAAACAAAGAGAAGCAAGACCGCGAGGUGGAGCAAAACUCAGAAACAACGUCCCAGUUCGGACUGCAGGCUGCAACUCGCCUGCACGAAGUCGGAAUUGCUAGUAAUCGCAGAUCAGCAUGCUGCGGUGAAUACGUUCCCGGGCCUUGUACACACCGCCCGUCACACCAUGAGAGCCGGGGGGACCCGAAGUCGGUAGUCUAACCGCAAGGAGGACGCCGCCGAAGGUAAAACUGGUGAUUGG